rnacentral:tRNA from 1 species
GCCGGCUUGGCUCAGUGGAUAGAGCGUCAGCCUGCGGACUGAGGGGGUCCCAGGUUCGAUUCCUGGUCAGGGCA